GGGGGCUUAGCUCAGUUGGUAGAGCGCCUGCUUUGCAAGCAGGUUGUCAGGGGUUCGAAUCCCCUAGCCUCCAC
rnacentral:tRNA from 1 species